rnacentral:rRNA from 1 species
UACGUAGGGUGCAAGCGUUGUCCGGAAUUAUUGGGCGUAAAGAGCUCGUAGGCGGUUUGUCGCGUCGAAUGUGAAAACCCGGGGCUCAACCCCGGGCCUGCAUUCGAUACGGGCAGACUAGAGUUCGGUAGGGGAGUCUGGAAUUCCUGGUGUAGCGGUGAAAUGCGCAGAUAUCAGGAGGAACACCGGUGGCGAAGGCGGGACUCUGGGCCGAUACUGACGCUGAGGGGCGAAAGCGUGGGGAGCGAACAGG